UUAAAAAGUUUCGAUUCAAUACACUUAAACCUUUAUAAAAAAUAAAAAAUAAAAUAAAAUAAAAUAAAAUCUGCAAAAAUCUUAAUUAAAUAUACCCCAUAAAGAAAUUUUUAUUGUAACACAAAGUGAGAGGUGUUCCACCCCUAUAGUAGAUUGGAUUAGAUUGAUAAACAGUUACGCCCUUGAACCUUUUCAUUUUCCUCCCAAAAACAAUACUAUAACUGCUACAUAUUCUCUCUGAGACACAUUAAAAUGGCGAUGCAAAAUUGGAUAAUCACAGUCCCAAUAUUUCUAUUUGCAGUAAUCAUGUUAUUGGGCACUUCAUUUUGUUUGCAAUAUAUUGUUGGAGAUUCAAUUUGGUCCAUUCCUCUAACAAAUAACUUUUACAGUAACUGGUCUUCUUCUUACACUUUUCGGACUGGAGAUGCUCUAUGUAUGUACUAAUUUCUCUUCUUUUUGUAGCUUAAAGUUAUUAGCCUUUUGAUCUUCUCAUUUCUUUCAUGGUUUCUUUCCAAAUGAAAAAAUGUAAGCAGGGUUAUCCAUUAUCCAAACUCAGUCUCAAAUUUAAAUUUCUAAGCCUUUACCAGUUCAAAACUUGGUUCUGAAAGGAGUAUUUUUUCCUAAAGAAAACUAAAAUCUAAUGCAGAUUUCGACUUUGAUUCACCAUUUUACAAUGUGAUUGAAGUUUCAAGAGGAGAAUUGGAGAGUUGCACUGCAAAUCAACCCUACAAGGCAUUCAUGGAGGGCCCAGCAACUGUUCUUCUUAUGCAGAAAGGGGUGUUUUAUUUCAUAUGCAAUGUCUCAAAUUACUGUGCAUUAGGCCUAAAGGUUAGUGUAACUGUUGAAGAGAAUUCUCCAAAUCUUGCACCAAAUUCCGAACCAUAGGCCUAAUAAACAAGAUUUUAACUUUUUUUUUCUUUUAAUCUUAUUUAGUUCGUAGCAUAUUAAUUUUGAGGUUUUAGUUUCAAUAUCGUGUUGAGUUGUUUUAUGAUUUUGUGAUAAUGAAAGGGUUAAAAAUCAUCGCUCGUCGUCAAACUCCUAAUGAAAUUAAUUGGAUUAUUAAUUAAUUUUGUAGACGUUGGAUUAAACUUUAUUACAAUAUUGGACUACUAGUAGCAUUAUCCUAAUUCAAAUUUAUUUAGCUCUUGUUUGAUGGAGAUUAAAAUCAGAUUUUUAAUAAAUUUUUAUAGCAGUUAAUCAAAUGUGUAGUUCAAAAUUAUGUAAUCCGUAAAAUAUGUAAUUAAAAUUGAUUGCUUUACCAAACUGGGGUUUAAUAAGAGAGAGACUAAAUUUUGUUGACCAUUCGUCUAAUAGAGUUGCUACAUUAGAUAUUGUCUAUUUUUAUUUUUUUU
rnacentral:lncRNA from 1 species